AGGGCUUCAAUAUGUACAUCGAGG
rnacentral:siRNA from 1 species